rnacentral:piRNA from 1 species
AGAAAGGUGGCUACAUUCUGUGAUAACGUU